UACGUAGGGUGCAACCGUUAAUCGGAAUUACUGGGCGUAAAGCGUGCGCAGGCGGGGAUGUAAGACAGAUGUGAAAUCCCCGGGCUCAACCUGGGAACUGCAUUUGUGACUGCAUCGCUGGAGUGCGGCAGAGGGGGAUGGAAUUCCGCGUGUAGCAGUGAAAUGCGUAGAUAUGCGGAGGAACACCGAUGGCGAAGGCAAUCCCCUGGGCCUGCACUGACGCUCAUGCACGAAAGCGUGGGGAGCAAACAGG
rnacentral:rRNA from 1 species